rnacentral:rRNA from 1 species
UACGUAGGGGGCUAGCGUUGUCCGGAAUCAUUGGGCGUAAAGAGCGUGUAGGCGGCCCGGUAAGUCCGCUGUGAAAGUCAAAGGCUUAACCUUUGAAUGUCAGCGGAUACUGCCGGGCUAGAGUCCGGAAGAGGCGAGUGGAACUCCUGGUGUAGCGGUGGAAUGCGCAGAUAUCAGGAAGAACACCAACGGCGAAGGCAGCUCGCUGGGACGGUACUGACGCUGAGACGCGAAAGCGUGGGGAGCGAACAGG